rnacentral:rRNA from 1 species
UACGAAGGGGGCUAGCGUUGUUCGGAAUUACUGGGCGUAAAGCGAACGUAGGCGGUGUUCCAUGUCAGAGGUGAAAGCCUGGGGCUCAACUCCAGAAUUGCCUUUGAAACGGGAACGCUUGAGUCCGAGAGAGGGUGGCGGAAUUCCUAGUGUAGAGGUGAAAUUCGUAGAUAUUAGGAAGAACACCAGUGGCGAAGGCGGCCACCUGGCGUCGUACGUGACGCUCAGGUUCGAAAGCGUGGGGAGCAAACAGG